rnacentral:rRNA from 1 species
GUGUAGCGUACCUACUAGCCUACGACGGGUACGGGUUGUGAGAGCAAGAGCCCGGAGAUGGAUUCUGAGACACGAAUCCAGGCCCUACGGGGUGCAGCAGGCGCGAAAACUUUACAAUGCUGGCAACAGCGAUAAGGGAACCUCGAGUGCCAGGUUACAAAUCUGGCUGUCGUGAUGCCUAAAAAGCAUUGCAUAGCAAGGGCCGGGCAAGACCGGUGCCAGCCGCCGCGGUAACACCGGCGGCUCGAGUGGUAACCGUUAUUAUUGGGUCUAAAGGGUCUGUAGCCGGCCGGAUAAGUCUCUUGGGAAAUCUGGCAGCUCAACUGUCAGGCUUUCAGGAGAUACUGUCUGGCUCGAGGCCGGGAGAGGUGAGAGGUACUUCAGGGGUAGGGGUGAAAUCUUGUAAUCCUUGAAGGACCACCAGUGGCGAAGGCGUCUCACCAGAACGGACCUGACGGCAAGGGACGAAAGCUAGGGGCACGAACCGGAUUAGAUACCCGGGUAGUCCUAGCCGUAAACGAUACUCGCUAGGUGUCGGCCACGGUGCGACCGUUGUCGGUGCCGUAGGGAAGCCGUGAAGCGAGC